rnacentral:rRNA from 1 species
AACGCGAAGAACCUUACCAGGUCUUGACAUCCUCUGACAAUCCUAGAGAUAGGACGUUCCCCUUCGGGGGACAGAGUGACAGGUGGUGCAUGGUUGUCGUCAGCUCGUGUCGUGAGAUGUUGGGUUAAGUCCCGCAACGAGCGCAACCCUUGAUCUUAGUUGCCAGCAUUCAGUUGGGCACUCUAAGGUGACUGCCGGUGACAAACCGGAGGAAGGUGGGGAUGACGUCAAAUCAUCAUGCCCCUUAUGACCUGGGCUACACACGUGCUACAAUGGAUGGUACAAAGGGCUGCAAAACCGCGAGGUCGAGCCAAUCCCAUAAAACCAUUCUCAGUUCGGAUUGUAGGCUGCAACUCGCCUACAUGAAGCUGGAAUCGCUAGUAAUCGUGGAUCAGCAUGCCACGGUGAAUACGUUCCCGGGCUUGUA